rnacentral:rRNA from 1 species
GGGGAAUAUUGGGCAAUGGGGGAAACCCUGACCCAGCAACGCCGCGUGAAGGAAGAAGGCCUUCGGGUUGUAAACUUCUUUUACCAGGGACGAAGGACGUGACGGUACCUGGAGAAAAAGCAACGGCUAACUACGUGCCAGCAGCCGCGGUAAUACGUAGGUUGCAAGCGUUGUCCGGAUUUACUGGGUGUAAAGGGCGUGUAGGCGGAGAUGCAAGUUGGGAGUGAAAUCCAUGGGCUCAACCCAUGAACUGCUCUCAAAACUGUAUCCCUUGAGUAUCGGAGAGGCAAGCGGAAUUCCUAGUGUAGCGGUGAAAUGCGUAGAUAUUAGGAGGAACACCAGUGGCGAAGGCGGCUUGCUGGACGACAACUGACGCUGAGGCGCGAAAGCGUGGGGAGCAAACAGGAUUAGAUACCCUGGUAGUCCACGCCGUAAACGAUGAGUGCUAGGUGUCGGGGAGGAAUCCUCGGUGCCGCAGCUAACGCAAUAAGCACUCCACCUGGGGAGUACGACCGCAAGGUUGAAACUCAAAGGAAUUGACGGGGGCCCGCACAAGCGGUGGAGCAUGUGGUUUAAUUCGAAGCAACGCGAAGAACCUUACCAAGGCUUGACAUCCCGAUGACCGCUCUAGAGAUAGAGCUUCUCUUCGGAGCAUCGGUGACAGGUGGUGCAUGGUUGUCGUCAGCUCGUGUCGUGAGAUGUUGGGUUAAGUCCCGCAACGAGCGCAACCCUUAUCCUUAGUAGCCAUCAUUGAGUUGGGCACUCUAGGGAGACUGCCGUGGAUAACACGGAGGAAGGUGGGGAUGACGUCAAAUCAUCAUGCCCCUUAUGUCUUGGGCUACACACGUGCUACAAUGGCUGGUAACAGAGUGAAGCGAGACGGCGACGUUAAGCAAAUCACAAAAACCCAGUCCCAGUUCGGAUUGUAGUCUGCAACUCGACUACAUGAAGCUGGAAUCGCUAGUAAUCGCGAAUCAGAAUGUCGCGGUGAAUACGUUCCCG